GCAUUCUAACCACCAAAGGACAUAAGAGUCUGUUUCCUCAUAAACUUGGCAAUAGAAAAUGUGGUCAAACUUCUGUAUUUUGGCCAAUUAGGGCACAGCACUGACUCCUGGCUGUCUCCAGUUUCUGGAGCAUAAUGUGGCCUCAAUGGGGACUCUGAAGUGCUUCCUGGUCGCAGCGCAUUUUCAAGACCUUCAAUGUGGAGACCCUUCACCAGCUGAAGCAUGGCUGCCAGGGUCUGCCCUACCCCUCAAAAAAGACUCUCAGUUCUUAGGAGUUUCAACAUGUCUUAGAGCUUGACUAAACACUAAUCUCGAUUUCUGAAUUUUAGAAGCUCCACUGAGGCUGUCUGCAACAUGUGCUCUGGUACAAUGCAACUCCCCUCAAAACUGGACAGAAAGUCUGUUAUGCAAGCUCCCUGAGCCUUUGAGGUAACAAUGUAAGGAUUUCCACAGCUCCUCCAGUCUAAGUCCACUUCACAACACGUUGACAGUCAUGAGGAUGCCUGGCUGGUGACCAGGACAACGAUCAUCCAGGAUGUGAUCCAAGCCUCCCACACAAGCUCCUCAUAGCAUGACCAGAUGUUGGUUUUCCCAUAUGUUGCCACUGUUCUCACCCUAUACUACCCUUAUAGUGUGCAGCAUUACAGACAAAUGUAUAUUUUAUAAGGGAAAUUAACUCUAUAUAUGCCGAGCCCUCUCCAACCCCCACAUUGAUAGAGCUCCUCCAAGUCCCUCUCUUAUAAGGCACACUCUGUUACACAUACCUGUACCUUACAAACUCCUGGCUCCUACCUUCACGCCUACACACCUCCAUCCUCUAAGCACUGAGGAAACAAAGACCUCUCCAUUUACCAGCACCCAGAAUUAUAAAGAAUGAUAGCAAGACACUUGUUCUGGCCACACAGGCUUCUCCCAUUGCCCAGGUCUCACAGACCAGGCCAACUAUACUCAGGCAGCCCAGUGUCUGCACUCACUCAAAGCCCUGCUCCAUGGAACUCCCUUGACCACUGAGGGCUUGCUUGAUUUCUCCUCUUUUGAUCCCAUCUUCUAUUCUACUUGUGCCUGAAGUGUGUUUCUGAUUCUUAUUGGGAUCUGUGCUCUUCUCAGGCUGUACACUUCACCUUGAGCCAAGUCACCUACAUCUUUGGUGGCAACCAGUCCUUAUGGAUUAGGACUCCUUAUGACUUUUCACCCUCCACAGUACAUAGGCAAGUGCUGAGCAUACAGUGUUCAUUCAAUAGAUAUUUACUGAAUGGUUUGAUGUUCUGUAGAAAUUAAGUAUUCCCCAAAUAAAAUCCUACGAUGUACUGGGAGACUGUUCUCCGUGGGUCUCUUAUGCUUUGCAAGUUUUAUGAGGAGAGGCACUGCCAGCUUUUGUUCUAGAUUCCCUUUUCAAGGAUAUCUGUAUAAUGAAUGGCCUUGGAAAAGAUAGAUAGCGACCCCCCCAGAGUGAAAGGCAGGUUUGUUUGCUGCCCAGUGUGAUAAAGAUUAUGUCUCCCUCCAGGGUAAAAGCUGGGUAAGCUCACUUGCAGCCCAUUAUGAAAGACUGGGGGAUUUUAACCUCCAGGUUUCUCAGCUGUGAUGCACACCUGCUGAGUCCUCAGACCUGUCCUUGUGGAACAUGAGAGACAAGUGGAAACCACAGGAACAUGAAGCUCAGCCUGCUUGCUGUGUCUGGGCCAUCCAGAUGAAAGCAAAGAUGGCAGAGAUACUGGCACAUCAAAAUACAAAGAGUCACAAGAUAGAGAGGAAGCCAUCCAGAAUUGCUACCUGACCCACGCUGGAUAUUGAUUGGAGUCUUCCAGUUUUGCCAUCUGCUUCUUCACUGACGCUUCUGCUUUCUAAAGUGGAAUCUUACCAUCAGAUGAUAACAGUCAAAUACUCUAGCAGGACAAUGAUACCUCAUCGAAAUAUUAUGAAAAUUAAGUGACUCAGUGUAUGUGAAGUGCUUCUUCAUUUCCUUCAUAUGAAAAUACCAACUAAAAGAAAGAACUGGUAAGCUUAUUUCCUUGCUGAGUGGUUCAUCUCUUCCCAUGAAGACUCUUCAUAGAAACCAUGCUGGUGCCAGCUCACGCUAGACUGGGUUGAGACCCACCAGGGGUAGCACCAAACCUGCAGAGGGCUGGAUUUUCAUUCACCAUGGUCCAAAGGUCAAGAAGUGACCUACAACAAAGGCCAGAUGAUGCAUGCAUCCUGAAUUAUAUUCAAAGUAAACAUAAGCCUCGGAGAAAGAGGACUGGCAGUCCAACUGAUCACUCUGAUCUAGCUUAAGUUUCUGUACCAGAAACAAUGGUACAGAUAUUGUACCAAUUGUACCAAUCAUUGCUUUUUUUUUUCGAUCAUUCUAAAAUGGUAGGGUGUGAACCAGAGAUCUCCAAACUGUAGGCAUUACAUACUUGGAGAUGGAAUUCUUAAGAUUCUAUAUCAUGAGGCCACUGCAUGUGUGUCUGACCUGAUAAUGCUUUACUAUCCCACACAUUUAUUAUAUUUCACAUCACUGUCAAAACUAACCCUGAGAACUCAGAGAUUUUCACAGCCAUAGUGUAAAGCAAUAACAUUACCUCAGUAAUAACUAAUUAGAAAAUGUACUAACAACAAAUGAUAUUCCCAAUUAGCAACAAAAACAUAUGGUAUCUGGGAAUAAAUCCAAUAAAAGGACAGUAAGAACCACAUGGAGAAAACUUUGAAGUGUUAUAGAAAGAUCUUAAUAAAUAAGUGAAAUAUAACAUGUUCAUGGUUAAAAAGACUAUGUCACAAAGAUGCCAGUCUCCCCUAAAUUAAUCUUAUAAAUUCAAUGCAAAUUCAUUCUAGGAACCCUAAUAGAAUUUCUUUUGUAGAAAUUGACAAGUUGGCCUUAAAAUUCACAUGGAAGAGUAAAAAGCCAAGAGUAGUUAAGAUAUUUUAAAGAACAACUUGAGAGAGUUCUCCAUAUCAGAUAAGACAAAUCACAAAGCUAUAGGAAUCAGGAUGGUGUGAGAUAGACAAAGAGACAUCCAGAACAGGGAUAGUCCAGAUUCAUAUAUAUAUGAAAACAGAGGAGGCAUUGUGACGCAGUGGAGAAAGGAGCAGAUAUUUGAU